GCAGCAGGGGGGUAAGUCUGUUGGUUGCUAACAUGAGCCUGAUUGUGCCAAUGCCAGCCAUGGGAAACUAGAGACUUGAGAAAGAAAAGACACAUUGUGUGAAAAAUUCUUGAGGAGCAGAAUUUUGGAUCUCGGGGGACUGUAGCAGAUUUUGGCAGGAACGCAAGAGCAAGUUGGAGGGAUAAGGAACACGGCUGGAACUUUUCAGAUGCUGUUGCUUCAUGCCUGCGUGCAGAACAUCUGGCCUGUAACGCGACGUACACGGCAAGAGACAUCGGCCUGUAUUAGAUGCUUAUGUUGAGAGAUGCUUUGGUGCAAACGUCUCCCCUGGUUUAAAUAAUGAUCCGAUUCUUUCCUCUGGGUCGUGGAUGCGAGGUCGCCCGGGAGGAUGAGAGGCGUUUGGGAGGUACGAGCGCCAGUUGAAUUCAUCAGCCCGCAGGGAAAGCGGCAUCCCACCCGGCCGGCGUUUUCAAAAGAGCCCAAAUGUGCAAUUAUAAACACACUGAAGCGGAGUUGCUUCAUUUUACUUUUCCAUUAUUUCAGGGCCGAGCUGAAUCAUUUGGAGAGAAAUAAUGAGUCAACCUAAUCAAGGACUUCCGCUUUUUGCUCAACAAUAAUUACAUAGUCAGACCCGCUGCAGAGCUGUAUGAUUUAUGACAGGACAUGAUGGAUAUUAAUGGAUUUCUUAAUUGGUGCAUAUGUUUAUGAAAUUGGCUGGCUGGCACUGACAUAACAGGCUGUCAGGUAAUGCGAGCCCUCUUCAGAAACUGCCUGGGUGGCUGCGAGGAUAGAAAGCUGUCUGCUGCAGCUCUGUCUCUGCAAAUAAAAAGGAAUAAGAGAAGAAAAGAAUGGGAAAAAGCCCAGGCUGAAUAGAGGAAACCCACCGUGCUUGUGUAAAAAUAAUGUAUCACUGUUGCAUGAAUGCAUUUUUAAUGCUUUUUUUGUUUAAGAAUGACUAGAAACAAAG